UACGUAGGGGGCAAGCGUUGUCCGGAUUUAUUGGGCGUAAAGAGCGUGUAGGCGGCCAGGUAGGUCCGCUCUGAAAGCCCGGGGCUCAACCCCGGGAGGCGGGUGGAUACUGCUGAGCUUGAGUCCGGAAGAGGCGAGUGGAAUUCCCGGUGUAGCGGGUGAAAUGCGCAGAUAUCAGGAGGAACACCGGUGGCGAAGGCGGAUCUCUGGGCCAAUUACUGACGCUGAGGAGCGAAAGCGUGGGGAGCGAACAGG
rnacentral:rRNA from 1 species